UUAUUGUUCAAGUUUGUUAGAACUUAGUUAAAAGAUUGAAACAGGAUACAUUUGAAAGUGUAGCAAAAUAAGUAUGUUCAUCUAUGUGACACUGACCAGUAUUGAGUUUUGUAUUUUUAAAAAAUGUAAUUGAACUAUAACCAACAAUCUGCAACGUGGAUGAACAUCGAUGAUUGUAAGAAUCAUGAAGCAAGCGAUAUGGCAAAACCAAAACGUCAGCAAAUACUUUCACCUAAUCACUAUCUGGAACACAAUCUUGAAAUAGAGACAGGAUCUAUACCUUAUGAUAGUGCAUGCUCGGAAAAUGUCGUUGUGGAAAAUGACUUUGAAAUUCAACCACCAUUUUGCGACGUAGUGAAGCACUGAUGAAGGCAACCAUUAUAAUACUAUGAAUAACUGCCAACCUUUUGCUCCUGCCUUAACCUGGACGGCGGAACAGUACAUAUUCUUCACUCGUACGUACUCUGAGUGAACAAACAAAUGAGGAAAAUGGAUUAGUGGCUAAUAUACAGAUUAUAAAAAUUAACACCAGCUGACUAUUUCCAACUGAGUAUAUUUGUGUGUGAUGCCUUUCUCGUUCACUAGGAACCUGAGUAUAAUUGUGUGUGAUGCCUUUCUCGUUCACUACGCCCCAGUCGAGGAUUAAUUCAGUAUUGAAAGACUAAAUGUGAAUUAUAACUUCUGUAUUCGUUGGAGAAAUAAAAACACCACAAGGAUCAGUGUUGGUUCCUGAUCUAUACAAGUUCAACCAAGUAAAUGCAAAUAUUUACUUUAUGGAAAGAGUUAAAGGUUUAUAGCGGUGUAACAGUUGUGAUUAAUGGCAUUGACUAGAUAAUUUGUGCUGAUUUGAAAUACUGAAAAUAAAACUUUUGUUCCCACAGUGUCAAACGUUACCAUAUCAGGGUGCUUCGAAAGUUUGGAAAGACAUCCUUGUAACAAAACCGUCUAGGAAUCCGUAGGCGUAGUUAACUCUUCUUGAGCUUAUGGGAGCUUUUAAAAAUAUAUUGGAUGAUCGGCUGAGAUGAAAACAAUCAUUCUUAUGUAUGACUCUCUGCACACGAGUGUGGUUCAAUUGCGGUGUUUGUACACAUGAAAAAAAGAAAUUAGUCAACGCAAACCCGAUAUUAGACAAACUAAAAUUAAGAUUCUGCAAAAAAUCUACAAAAAGAAUUGUUAUGGUCCACAAAGUAGUACAGGGACGUUGUCGGAACGUCGGUAAAGGUAAACAUUAUGAACAGAUUGAAACUUGUUCUUCCCAGACAUACAGUAGGCUUAAAUUUUAGAAACAUUUCCUAGUAAUAUAUAUCGUUUAUGUAUUUUCUAGUAUAAAUGAUUAAGAUUGUACUCAGUCAGAACUGCAAAACAAUAUAAUAAGAAAGAAAUUGUGAGCAUUAUCGAAAACAAGUCAGAUAAUUUUUCAUUCGUAUACAAAUGAUGCCCGCGAGGAAUGCUGGUCUUAGUAGUCAUCGCCCCGGAAAAUUAAACAUUUUAAAAUGGCCACUAUCGAAAUUUUUCCCGCUAAUGACUACUAAGACCAGCAUUCCUGACAGGCAUCAAGCCUUCAUGAGACGUCAUUAUGCAUAAGGUCAGGGAUGCCGGAACCACGGGUGCAGCGGGUGCAGUUGCACCCGCUGCCUUUUGUCUUCACAACUUUACGGGUGCACUACGGGUGCAGAAUACGGGUGCAACGGGUGCACAAAGUGCCCUUUUUGCGUGAAAAAUUUUCAUUAAAAAUUGCAUUUUUUGCGCAAAGGGCAUUUUUGAAAAAUUCAAUCUAUGUUUUUUCCGGAAAAAUGUAAGUAAAGCCCCGCACAAAAGAACCAGUAGGUUAAGGGACCACUAGCCUAAAAUUUGUGCAAUUAAAUCGUGUUUUAUCAGAUAUAAAACGCUCGGCGCACUCAAAAUACAAGUUUUAAACAUUUUUUAACAGUUUAGAUAUAUGCAACGAGAACCAUAUUAGCGUCAUAACAACAGUUUUAUGCAACAGCAGUCCCUAUUUAAUGUGUAGAAUAGAAUAGAAAAAGUAUAGUGUGAAGUAAGAUUAUAUAAGAACCACUUCAGCCUGAAGUCAAAAUUCACUGGUUUUAUUUAUGCAGGGCUUUACUAUACUGUAUAUCAUAUUCCCUUAAUAACAAU